rnacentral:rRNA from 1 species
AUGCGAGUUGUAUGGGAUACCUAAAAUUCCCAUGGCGAACUGCUUAGUAACACAUGAUCAACUUACCCUAUGGAGAAAAAUAACCUCGGGAAACUGAGGAUAAUGUUUCAUAGUUGAAUAGGCUUGGAAAAGUUUUUCAAUGAAUGGGAUAAGGAAAAUGGUUCUUAUCUGCCAUAGGAUAGGAUCGUGGUCGAUUAUGGUUGUUGGUGAGGUAACGGCUCACCAAGCCGAUAAUCGAUAGGGGCCGUGAGAGCGGGAGCCCCAAGAUGGGUACUGAGACAACGACCCGGGCCUUACGAGGCGCAGCAGGUGCGAGACCUCCGCAAUACACGAAAGUGUGACGGGGUUACCCAAAGUGUUCUCUUUUGAACUGUGGUAGGUGAGUAAUGUCCCCUACUAGAAAGGAGAGGGCAAGGCUGGUGCCAGCCGCCGCGGUAAAACCAGCUCUUCAAGUGGUCGGGAUAAUUAUUGGGCUUAAAGUGUCCGUAGCCGGUUUAGUAAGUUCCUGGUAAAAUCGGAUAGCUUAACUAUCCGCAUGCUAGGAAUACUGCUAUACUAGAGGGCGGGAGAGGUCUGAGGUACUAUAGGGGUAGGGGUGAAAUCUUAUAAUCCUUGUAGGACCACCAGUGGCGAAGGCGUCAGACUGGAACGCGCCUGACGGUGAGGGACGAAAGCCAGGGGAGCGAACCGGAUUAGAUACCCGGGUAGUCCUGGCCGUAAACGAUGCAUACUAGGUGAUGGUACGGCCGUGAGCCGUAUCAGUGCCGUAGGGAAACCGUUAAGUAUGCCGCCUGGGAAGUACGGUCGCAAGGCUAAAACUUAAAGGAAUUGGCGGGGGAGCACCACAAGGGGUGAAGCCUGCGGUUCAAUUGGAUUCAACGCCGGAA